AUGCACUUACUCUCUGCCGAGAGCGCUCAUCGCCGUCUCCGGCCUCGACCCCUACAUCGUCUCAUGCGCAGGCGAAGUCUACACGGCCCUCUCUCCGACGGCAGCGGCGGCAAGAAGAAGAUCGGCGGUCCUCUCAUGACCAGCCUACGCACGUGCGUCAAGGCAACGCUCCCGCCAAACCCGCUCCCGCCCUUCUACUGCUGCCCGCCGGCGCCGGCGUCCGAGCCGAUCAACUUCACGCUCCCAGACCCGGCGGAGCCGCUGAGGGUCCGGCGGCCGAUGCACGCCGUGGGGGCGGAGCACAUGGCCAGGUACGAGCGCGCGAUAACGCUGAUGAGGGCGCUGCCGCACUCCGACCCGCGCAGCCUCUACCAGCUGGCCAACGUCCACUGCGCCUACUGCACCGGCUCCUACCGCCAGACGGGGGACCCGGAGCUCAACGUGCAGAUCCACUUCUCGUGGUUCUUCUUCCCGUUCCACCGCGCCUACCUCUACUUCUUCGAGCGCAUCGCGGCGAGGCUGCUCGGGGAGCCCGGCUUCGCGCUGCCCUUCUGGGGCUGGGACGUGCCGGAGGGGAUGCGGAUGCCGGCCGAGUUCUCCAACUCGUCGUCGCCGCUCUACGACCCCGUGCGGAACCCGGCGCACGCGCCGCCCACACUCGUGGACCUGGACUUCGCGCACGUCGAGAACAACCUCACCGACGAGCAGCAGGUCCAGCAGAACCUCAGGAUCAUGUACAAGCAGAUGAUCGGCAAUGCGGCUCUGCCGUCCCUCUUCUACGGCCAGCCAUUCCGUGCCGGGCAGUCUGACAGGCCGGGCCCUGGGACCGUGGAGCUGACCCCACACAACACCAUGCACACUUGGACCGGCGAUCUGACCUUCCACAACGUGGAGGACAUGGGCACCUACUACUCCGCCGGCCGAGACCCGCUCUUCUACCCGCAGCACAGUAACAUCGACCGCCUGUGGGAGGCGUGGCGAGAUGUCGGCGCCGCCCGCGGUUAUCGCGGCCACGUCGACUUCACGGACUCCGACUGGCUCGACUCCUCCUUCCUCUUCUACGACGAGGAGGCCCGCCUGGUGCGAAUCACCGUCCGCGACGUGCUCGACAUCGACAAGCUCCGGUACAGGUUCGACGGCGUUGGCAUGCCGUGGGUCGACGCACGCCCGCCUCCCACUCCAAACGUGAACAGAAAUAAAGGCUCGUCGUCGUUGAAGUCCGUCAGGUUCCCACUGUCCCUUGACGCGGCUGUGACCGUCGAGGUAAGACGGCCGCGGGUGCUUCGAAGCCGGCGAGAGAAGGAGGUCCGGGAGGAGGUGCUGGUUGUCGAGGGCAUCGAGAGCGACGGCACUGAAAUGGUCAAGUUCGAUGUCUACGUGAACGCCAUGGACUACGAGAAGGUCGAGCCAAGCGGGCGGGAGCUGGCCGGGAGCUACCUGUGCUUGAGUCAUCCUAGUAUGGAUGGCACAGGGAAGGGAAUGAGGACAGAAACGAGCAUGAGGGUGGCGUUGAACGAGCUCCUGGAAGAUUUGGGUGCCGAUGGAGACGAGAGUGUGACGGUGACAUUGGUGCCUAGACAUGGGAAGGUUAACAUCGCAGGCCUGAAAAUUGUGUACAUGAUGGAGUGA
rnacentral:rRNA from 1 species